GAAUCCAGACUUUGAUUCUGGCUCGGGAUGAACGCUAGCUACAGGCUUAACACCAUGCAAGUCGAGGGGCAGAAUGGUCUUAGCUUGCUAAGGCCGAUGGCGACCGGCGCACGGGUGAGUAACACGUAUCCAACCUGCCGUCUACUCUUGGAUAGCCAUCUGAAAGGAAGAUUAAUACAAGAUGGCAUCAUGAGUCCGCAUGUUCACAUGAUUAAAGGUAUUCCGGUAGACGAUGGGGAUGCGUUCCAUUAGAUAGUAGGCGGGGUAACGGCCCACCUAGUCUUCGAUGGAUAGGGGUUCUGAGAGGAAGGUCCCCCCACAUUGGAACUGAGACACGGUCCAAACUCCUACGGGAGGCAGCAGUGAGGAAUAUUGGUCAAUGGGCGAGAGCCUGAACCAGCCAAGUAGCGUGAAGGAUGACUGCCCUAUGGGUUGUAAACUUCUUUUAUAAAGGAAUAAAGUCGGGUAUGGAUACCCGUUUGCAUGUACUUUAUGAAUAAGGAUCGGCUAACUCCGUGCCAGCAGCCGCGGUAAUACGGAGGAUCCGAGCGUUAUCCGGAUUUAUUGGGUUUAAAGGGAGCGUAGAUGGGUGUUUAAGUCAGUUGUGAAAGUUUGCGGCUCAACCGUAAAACUGCAGUUGAUACUGGAUAUCUUGAGUGCAGUUGAGGCAGGCGGAAUUCGUGGUGUAGCGGUGAAAUGCUUAGAUAUCACGAAGAACUCCGAUUGCGAAGGCAGCCUGCUAAGCUGCAACUGUCAUUGAGGCUCGAAAGUGUGGGUUAUCAAACAGGAUUAGAUACCCUGGUAGUCCACACGGUAAACGAUGAAUACUCGCUGUUUGCGAUAUACAGCAAG
rnacentral:rRNA from 1 species